rnacentral:lncRNA from 1 species
GGGGUCAUGGGAUGUGGGGUUAUGGGGGGGUUAUGGGGGACACGGGGAGAUUGGAGGCGAUUUGGGGCCGUUUUCACCACGGUUUUGGGGCCAUUUUCUAUGGGAUUUCGGGGGCCAUUUUGGGGCCACUUUCAAUGGGAUUUUGGGCCAUUUUGGGCCACUUUCAAUGGGAUUUUGGUCCAUUUCGAUCAAUUUGGGGCCACUUCCAAUGGGCUUUUGUUCCCUUUUGUUCCCUUUUGGUCCCUUUGGUUCCCUUUGUUCCCUUUUGUUCCCUUUGUUCCCUUCCUGCCCACCUCCCUUGGGAUUCCGCUGCCCUGGGUUCCCUUUGGUUCCCCUGUGUCCCCUUUUGUCCCCUGUUCCCCCUGUGUCCCCUGUGCCCCCUGUGUCCCCUGCUCCCCCUGUGUCCCCUGUGCCCCCUUUUGUCCCCUGUUCCCUCUUUUGUCCCCUGUUCCCCCUGUGUCC